GUGUGUGUGUGUGUGUGUGUAUGUGUGUAUAUAUAUAUAUAUAUAUAUAUAUAUAUAUAUAUAUAUAUAUAUAUGCGUACACACACACACACUC